rnacentral:SRP_RNA from 1 species
GCUGGGCGCGGUGGUGCAUGCCUAUAGUCUCAACUACUCUGGAGGCUGAGACUGGAGGAUCGCUUGAGCCCAGGAGUUUUGGGCUGUAGUGCACUAUGCCGAUCAGGUGUCCACAAUAAGUUCCGCAUCAAUAUGGUGACUUCCUGGGAGCAGGGGACAACCAGCUUGCCUAAGGAGGGGUGAACCGGCCCAGGUAGAAAACAGAACAGGUCAAAACUCUUGUGCUGAUCAGUAGUGGGAUAGUGCCUGUGAAUAGCCACUGCACCCUAGCCUGGGCAACACAGCAAGACCCUGUCACA